rnacentral:rRNA from 1 species
GACGAACGCUGGCGGCGUGCCUAAUACAUGCAAGUCGAGCGGAGUGAUGAAGAAGCUUGCUUCUUCUGAUUUUAGCGGCGGACGGGUGAGUAACACGUGGGCAACCUACCUUGUAGAUUGGGAGUAACUCCGGGAAACCGGGGCUAAUACCGAAUAAUCCAUUUUGCUUCAUGGCGAGAUGUUAAAAGGCGGCUUCGGCUGUCACUACGAGAUGGGCCCGCGGCGCAUUAGCUAGUUGGUAGGGUAAUGGCCUACCAAGGCGACGAUGCGUAGCCGACCUGAGAGGGUGAUCGGCCACACUGGGACUGAGACACGGCCCAGACUCCUACGGGAGGCAGCAGUAGGGAAUCUUCCACAAUGGACGAAAGUCUGAUGGAGCAACGCCGCGUGAGUGAAGAAGGUUUUCGGAUCGUAAAACUCUGUUGUAAGGGAAGAACACGUACGAGAGUAACUGCUCGUACCUUGACGGUACCUUAUUAGAAAGCCACGGCUAACUACGUG